rnacentral:rRNA from 1 species
AUUGAACGCUGGCGGCAGGCCUAACACAUGCAAGUCGAACGAGUGGCGGACGGGUGAGUAAGGUCUGGGAAACUGCCUGAGGGAGGGGGACAACUACUGGAAACGGUAGCUAAUCCCGCAUACCAUCGGAUGUGCCCAGAUGGGAUGGGCUAGGAGGUGGGGUAACGGCUCACCUAGCCGACGAUCCCUAGCUGGUCUGAGAGGAUGACCAGACACACUGGAACGGAGACACGGUCCAGACUCCUACGGUAGGCAGCAGUGGGGAAUAUUGCACAAUGGGCGAAAGCCUGAUGCAGCCAUGCCGCUUGUAGGAAGAAGGCCUUCGGGUUGUAAAGUACUUGCAGCGGGGAGGCGUUACCCGCAGAAGAAGCACCGGCUAACUCCGUGCCAGCAGCCGCGGUAAUAC